AACUCUGAAACUUUGCCACUGUCUGCAGCAGCUCACCGCCCUGGUGCAGUGAUUCUCCAUAAGGGCUGUUGUCCAUCUGGCUACCGGCCCUGAAAGAAAAUACCAGAAAGCUCUGGAAAAGCCUCUACCAAGAAACUGGGAUGCCCCAUCAUAGGGACUUGACUUGCUGACAUGUAUCCAAAACAGGUUUUACAGUGUUCUCUGUCCUCAGAGUUAGACGUGGGGAUGUCGCUGAACAAGGAGGACUCCCUGUUUGCAUGAACAACUUCUGUGUCACCUGCCAGAGGCUGUUGUCCUUGUCUGACUUUUCCUUACCUGGCUUCAGCUAUAGAAGCCAAGGCUCAACAUAAUACCAUGUAAUAGGGUGAAAAGUCACGUCUGUGAUUUGUAUUCCAGAUGCGCAGUUCCAUGCUGGCUUUGGACAGCACAAAAGGAAAACUUUGUCUUUUACCAAAGGGGUAGGUCUCUUCAGGCUCACAAAUGUGGCAUUAACAAGCACACAACUCUUGGUGUGGCUCUGCAGGGAAGCGAAUGACGGAUUUAACUUCUCUGUACUUAUACAGCAAAUCAAUGGAAUAAAGGAUACUGCUUUGCAAUCUCUAGAGGUUAAAUCAAAGAGAAGAAAGAUACAGACUCUUAAAUUCUACACCAGAUGACCCUGCCGAGCCUACAUACAGGAUCAAACUGCAAGUGAAGUCUCUGGCUUCUUGGUUCUUCCAUGUUCUAUUACUUAAAACGUCAGGAAUAGCAGCAGAGUGUAUCACAGGUCUCUGCUGGUCUCUAAGCUUGUUUACUGUAAUAUGUAGCCUUCGAAGAGAAAGAACGAAGAACUGAAUCAUCCCUAAAGAAACUCUGGGCUUCAAAUUGUGAAUUAUAUUAUAUUUUAGAGCAGAUAACUCCUCUAACCAAAAUCACAGGAUCAGAUGCCCUGUGAGUAUAUAAUAUAACAUUUUUUUGCCUCCGAGAGCUGGCAGCACAGGAAGCUAUGGCAGACAAAAGGGACUGAAAUUGUGAGCACUGGCUGAUGGAUGGAGAAACUGUAGUGCCGAGGGAGUAAUUUGUGGAGGGUCUGGUGGCAGCGCAGCAUUGACAGAAUGAAAUGGGGCCUGGGGGCCGCCCUGACGCCUGUGCUCCCAAGCUACAAGGCUAACCUGCAGUUUAACCAUGGACGUAUGUGAAGGAGCUUUCUACAUUUAGACAACGCAUUCCUUUUACUCAGGCUCUUGCACUGGAUUACCCUACCUAGACCAGGAGCUGGAUUAAAGGCAUACACAAAAUCAACAUACCAUGUGUCUGUGAAGUUUAGCAAUUGUGUGUUGUGGGUGUCCUCUAGUUGUGUAGGGGAUAGUGAACUGAGCUGGUCUGACAUGCUUCCCUGCGUUUCUUGUGUGGUUUUCUAUGUAGACUUGGAGUUGGAGUGUAAGGUUGAGGCUACCAAAAAAAAAAAACAACUGUUUCAGUAGUUGAAUGGCCAUACCAUCAUGUCAUGAUGUUUUUAUUUCUUACGCUGGAGAGAACCUGGGUUUCUGCUGAAGUCACGCUGAAGACUGGCUGCUUCUCGUUUUGAAUCUCUUCUGGUGCUAAAGCUGCAGUGGAGUUUUCAGUUACACAUUUCUGGAGUCUCCCUGACCACGACUGUUACCUGAUGGCGCCUAUAUUUCAUCGAGUUUAGACAAGCAGUCUACCUGGACUUAGGCCCAGAGGAGCUGCUGUAGCUGAUGAACAUGAUCCUCUCUGUGCCGGAAUCCAAGACCUGUAGUACCACAGUUCCCAAGGGAAUUGAAAGAAAACUGUGUUCAGGCCUCGCCUCCUGCAUUUUUAAUUUUUUGUUGUUGUUGUUGUGUAGUAUUGCCUUGUACUGAUGGGUAGCGUACCUCGCCAUGAGUAAAAUCUGGUUUUAGUUCAUUGGUAAUUAGGAGAAAAGAUUCUUUUUAACCCAGACUGAAAACAGAAGCAGGGAAGAGCAAGAACAGAGGCAGCAACAGAAGAUACUCUGACAUCUCUUGAUUUCUGCUUACAAAUAAAGUGACAAGUUAUUAAACAAAAUAACAAAAAAUGUUGCAGCAUUAGUGUUAGCAUGAAGUGAAGUUUUUUUACUGCGUUAUCAUUUUCAUACUUCCAGAUUUUAGUGGAGGCAAUUGCAUAUUUUGAUUCUGUUCUUGUAUGUUUCCCUUUAAUCUGUUUGAUUCUGUUAUAAAAGCUGCGUUACAUAAACAUUAUAUAUUAUUUUAGCUGCAGAAUGCUAUCCUGGUGGAUUUUUUCAUUUAGAAAAUGUUUGUAGAAUUUUUUUAUGAUUCAACAGUGAGCGUUAAUGUUUAGUCUAAUUAAAUUUAAUUGCAUUUCCUGUAUUGUUUUAUUUUUAGUUUGCUCUUAUGCCUUUAUUUUCUUCAGGAUUUGUAAAUCUGACAUCUUUUGUUUUUUUAAAGCAUGGAGUUGGCAGUCAGAUACGAGCCCACUUUAAAGCAAAUGAAAUAAUUAUCUUAAAAUUCUUCUACAUGUGGGUAACGUGGUUUCUGCUUAAUGAUCAAGACCUGUAUCUUUAUGUUGUUUUGGAUUGUGUGACCUUGUUAGUUUGUUUUCUUUUGUAAAUUUAAAAAAUUAAGAUGAAGAAGAGGGAUUAAAAGCUGCUUCUUGUUCUAGCUUUGAUUUCCAGGUCAACUGGAGAGGCAGACAGAACACGUUCAUUACUCUUUCAGCUACAUACAUUUUUGCCAUUGGUCAUUUUAUCUUUUACUGCUCAUAUUUACCUUACUAACAUGUUAUACCAUUACUUUCUUCCCUUAUGUACUAGGAAAAAGUGUGGGAAAAUUUGCCUUCAACUAUUUUGGGGUUUUCUGUUGUUGUAACAGUUUAUCUGACUGUUUUUCUAAACGUGAGUUGUUUACCCUGGGAGUAACUACAGUGGCUGGAGAACUUGUAAAGCUCUGCAUUCAUGAAUGUGAAGACUGAACAGAUAAGGAUUCUCAGAUUUACUUAUUUAAAUCUAGUGAGUAACAAACAUCUGAAAUAAAGAUAUCAUUACUAAAAA